AGCUUGCUACCUGACCUAGCGGCGGACGGGUGAGUAAUGCUUAGGAAUCUGCCUAUUAGUGGGGGACAACAUUCCGAAAGGAAUGCUAAUACCGCAUACGCCCUACGGGGGAAAGCAGGGGAUCUUCGGACCUUGCGCUAAUAGAUGAGCCUAAGUCAGAUUAGCUAGUUGGUGGGGUAAAGGCCUACCAAGGCGACGAUCUGUAGCGGGUCUGAGAGGAUGAUCCGCCACACUGGGACUGAGACACGGCCCAGACUCCUACGGGAGGCAGCAGUGGGGAAUAUUGGACAAUGGGCGAAAGCCUGAUCCAGCCAUGCCGCGUGUGUGAAGAAGGCCUUUUGGUUGUAAAGCACUUUAAGCGAGGAGGAGGCUACUGAGAUUAAUACUCUUGGAUAGUGGACGUUACUCGCAGAAUAAGCACCGGCUAACUCUGUGCCAGCAGCCGCGGUAAUACAGAGGGUGCGAGCGUUAAUCGGAUUUACUGGGCGUAAAGCGUGCGUAGGCGGCUUUUUAAGUCGGAUGUGAAAUCCCUGAGCUUAACUUAGGAAUUGCAUUCGAUACUGGGAAGCUAGAGUAUGGGAGAGGAUGGUAGAAUUCCAGGUGUAGCGGUGAAAUGCGUAGAGAUCUGGAGGAAUACCGAUGGCGAAGGCAGCCAUCUGGCCUAAUACUGACGCUGAGGUACGAAAGCAUGGGGAGCAAACAGGAUUAGAUACCCUGGUAGUCCAUGCCGUAAACGAUGUCUACUAGCCGUUGGGGCCUUUGAGGCUUUAGUGGCGCAGCUAACGCGAUAAGUAGACCGCCUGGGGAGUACGGUCGCAAGACUAAAACUCAAAUGAAUUGACGGGGGCCCGCACAAGCGGUGGAGCAUGUGGUUUAAUUCGAUGCAACGCGAAGAACCUUACCUGGUCUUGACAUAGUAAGAACUUUCCAGAGAUGGAUUGGUGCCUUCGGGAACUUACAUACAGGUGCUGCAUGGCUGUCGUCAGCUCGUGUCGUGAGAUGUUGGGUUAAGUCCCGCAACGAGCGCAACCCUUUUCCUUAUUUGCCAGCGGGUUAAGCCGGGAACUUUAAGGAUACUGCCAGUGACAAACUGGAGGAAGGCGGGGACGACGUCAAGUCAUCAUGGCCCUUACGACCAGGGCUACACACGUGCUACAAUGGUCGGUACAAAGGGUUGCUACCUAGCGAUAGGAUGCUAAUCUCAAAAAGCCGAUCGUAGUCCGGAUUGGAGUCUGCAACUCGACUCCAUGAAGUCGG
rnacentral:rRNA from 1 species